AUCUCUUAUCUCUUCCAAUUUGCUAGCGUUCUUCUGUUAGGGUAAAUCACCGCUGAUCAUUGUUCUGCAGUUCCAAGUUGAAUGAAGGAAGACCUCUUAGCUGCUCAGUCUUAUGGAACUGAUUUACUGCAAUAUAGAGAACAAUAACUUCAUCAAUAGUAAGUUCAAUAAACUUCACAUCUUACCAUGCCAAAAGAUAUCUCUUUAUUUUCUUAUGGUUGAAAUUUCUAAAUUAGAUUCUGAAGUUUGUAAGUUGUCAUUCAAGGGAAUUAUACACCCUUGUUUUAACCUGUGAACUAGAUUGCACUCACAAAGUAUUUUCAAUUGUGAGUGCAGAUCAAUCCACAAACACAAAGGUCAUAUACAGUUAUGAGUCAUCUUCUGAUUAGAAUUCAAGUGAAAUACACCUAAUCUCUGAAUUGACAUUCAUGAAUGGCUAGUGGAAAUUUCACAAUUUAUUCUAUAUGCAUAUUUUAUUUUAUCAGGUAGAAAGAUUUGUGUUAACAAUUUUCCUUUAAGACACAGAUAUUGUCUAAAACAAUCAGGAGUUCAAAUUUGGUAUGCAAACUUUGAAGAAUAUCUCUGUGUUUAUCCUGUCAACCAGUAUCAACUUUACUUGCCUCACAGAUCAACUUCACUCAAGGAACCUCUACUCAUUCUUUGCUGAGCUCCUAGUUCUAAGAGGUAUAUAUGGCGUGCUUUCAUCUUUCCUCUCCUUUUGGU